rnacentral:lncRNA from 1 species
GGACCCGCCGUACUUCCUUUGACUACUCCUGAGAUAUAGUGGAAACAUUUUGUUAUGGUGGAGAGUGGGGAGUGAAAAGACCAAUGCAGCAGAGAACGACUGCAUGAAUCGGAAUCCACUUAUUAAGACAGACGACCGAGAAAGAAAGGCUCCGCGUUCGAACAUUGGUUGAUCUUAGCUUAGCGUGCUAGCCGCUGCUUCAUUUCGUAUAGUGAUAACGCUUUCUCUUUCUUAGCGCUCCGCCCCCCUUGUAUAGUAAGGGCUACUUUGGCUGCACGGCUUUCUCUUAUAGGGUGACUUGACUUAGCUUGACC